GGUUCCCAUUGACCAUGAAGCCCACUAUCUCCAUUAUUGCUUUGCCUUGCGGAUUUUAGGCCUCAGAAAUGAGACCUUUCUAGCCUCUGGAGUCCUAUGCUGUCCUUGUUGUCCACCCGUACAAAGACCUUUACCCAUUUUGCUUAAGAGUUUACGAGACUUUCCAAAAAAUGCACUUGCGUAUACAAUCCUGAAGACUGCAAAGCACGUGGAAUCAGACUCACAGCAAGACUGUCUCCUUCCGGCCCAGUUGCAAGGCCUCUGUAGUCUUCCUUUGGCAGGAAGCCAUGCAGACAUGACGGAGACCUUGGAUAAAUGUGGAGGGAAGCGUUAGAGGCUGUAAAUGCCAGGGUGUGUAUGUAUUUCUGCUUGUGUGUGGAGGGGUACCAUUUGUUGAUAGCAAAGGGCAAAGAAAGUAACAAACAAAAGGAUUCUCUCCCAUGGAGCUUCAGGAAUUUAUAUUGGCUCAUAACCCUUUGAGAACAAGCGCCCCGAGCAAGCUGGCACCACAUGAGAAACUAAACUGAUAGCACAGUGCCCUUUUGCAUUUUAGAGCGGGAUCACUAUGUACUAAGGGAACCGUGCCACUGAUUACCAAUUAAUCAUGCUCUAAAAGCUUCACAAGUGAAGAAUCCCACAGGCACUUCUUUCUUAAAGAGGCAAAGGCACUGAGGAGCACAGAUGGGGCAGGGAGGGAGAAAGAAGCACAGAGGGAACCACCAAAUCGAGGACAUGCAAAAUUUGCUUGGCAUUUGGAAUCUCAUUAUUAUGCUCAUUGUUUUUGAAGAGUUUUUCUUUUAAAAAAAAAUAAUAACAACUCAUAGGAAUGCAAGAGGCAAUGGCUGCGGCAAACAAUAAUGUGAGCAGGCAUUAUCCACAGCGGGGCCUUCUGUACAUGUGUAGCCCCUCGUCAUUUUGAUUUAUAGCUGCUCUUGCUGCUUUCUUAUAGCUGAUGAGGUUCUACCAUUCCACCACCCGUGUUUCAGUUCUGGAUUGAUUUCAGACUGAUAAAACUGUGAUGCCCCUUUUCUCACAUGCUUAAGGAUACUGUUUUUCCACGAUGCGCCUUGCCCCUGCCAGUGCCCCUGUCAGUCUUGCCAAGUGGCACCACUGGUUACUGCAGCCUAGCUCUUGGUGUUAUUGGAGGCAGUAGCCUAUGCUUCUGCAUGCAUGCAGUUCUGUAUGGCUUUUCUGGAUGAUGUGGGGUGGGGAGAACACAACAACACUGCUUUGACCCAAAUGUUUUUCGUUAUGUGGUGUAAAAGGGAAGUAACCUUUCUCACUUGCAGAUAGGCUCACAUUUCUCUGAAGGGGUAAAUGUGUACAGUGGUACCUCUACUUACAUUCACCUCUGGUUAUGUAUCCUUUGGGAUACGUGCGCGGCAAACCCAGAAGUAUUUUUCUGGGUUUCGCCGCACGCGCAGAAGCGUUAAACCGUGCCACACACAUACGCAGAAGUGGCACCUCCGGAUACACACAGCUCAGGAUCUGACUGGAGCUCCGGGACAGAUCCCGUGUGCAACCGGAGGUACCACUGUACUCUUGAGUUGGUGAGAGGGGAGCACUCAUCUUCCAAAGAACAUAGGAAGCUUCUUAAUACUGAGUCAGAUCUUUGGUUUAUUGGAAUCAGAUUUAUCUUCCCACUGACUGGUAUGGGUAGGGGAUGAAUUUAAUUAUGUUCACAUUUAAAGAAGAAUCUGCCUAAUUCACACUUCCUGAAAAGCAGCCUUUCUUCGAAAUUUGCAGUUUUCUGAAUUUUGCAAUGUAGUUCCCAGCUAUGUAAUAUGUACAAAGAUGCAUAUACUGGGGUAAAGUGUUGAUAAAAAUACAAAUAUUAAUCAAAAUAAUAUACAGAAAUUCAGCAUUUUUAUGGGGAAUUGUUUUGCAAAAAUGUACAUGUUGGGCAAAAUCGCAUUAAAAUGGAUAUAUUUAGCAAAAUUUGCAUCAAAAUGGUGAUUAAUUUUCAUGCUUAAAAAAAAUUUGCACACUGAUGUGGAAACAUGGAGCAUUGAACUUCAGACUGUAAAAAAGCCCCAGAAAGAAAUGGAGAAAGAGAAAUUGAAAUUGACAGAUUUGCCUAACUCUGCUGAGGGGCAGCGGCUCUCCAGGAUUUCAGACAAGAUCCUUGUCAAGCCCUACCUGGGGAUUUUUGGGGUGGGAUGUGGAACUUUCUGCAUGCAGUGCAUGGACUCUACAGAAGAGCUAUUGCCAAGGAUGUGGGAAAGGAGAAAAGGCUCAUUUACAAGAUAUUAAUUCAGAUCAGAGUAGGAAAGGGUGAUAAACAAAAGUUAGGGGUGUGCCAUGGAGGAAAUAAAACAUAAAAUACAGCCUGAUCCAUUUGCUGCAUGUUAACUUAGAGGAAGUUUGCCAGGCCUUGCUCCCAGGUAAGGGUUGAAGUUUCAGAAAUGCAUCUCUGUGAUGUGGUGAGCUGUUGGCAUGGGGAAGCUAUUUUCACACGUGGGCAAUUUCAAAUGAGUGCCUCCCAAUGUGAAGGAAGAUGUGAGGCAUGCCCUACAUGGAUCGGUUCUCGUGCUUUAGGAGAAAGAUGGACAGUUGUACUAACUUUGCAGGUCAUCCAUGAGAGACUGCGACUGGCUCAAGGUCGAGGAGUGUUACAUCUGAAGAAGUGGAAAUUUUCAUCUUGGUUUAUAGAGGCUCCAUAGCCCAAGGGCUUGAGAAUACUCACUCUAAAAAUAAGUGGGCUGACUGAGUCUGAUUGAGAUUAGGACUCUCCAAAGCCAGAAGAAUCAAGUUUUUAUUCAAGCGGUAUUUUAUUUCUAUUUGCCUCAGGAGCCAGGGAUCAGAUUAUUUGCCCAUUUGCUUGUACAGUUUGGUUCCAUGACACAGUAGUCAAAAUGUCAUGAAUUGCCCACUUUCCUCCUUCUUGGGCUGGCAGCCUUUGUGCCUCUACAAAAGUGGCAUUAAUGAAAGCCAGUAAGGAAAAGGAAUGGCCUGUGUGAUAUGCUACAGAAGACUGGCAAAGAGCCAGAGUACAAAAGGGAAGAGCUUUUGCUCCUGACUUAGAGCAUCCAAUUUUCUCAUAAAUAGUGUGUGGUUCUUGGAUGGGCGGAAGGCACCUCAUGGUGGUUGAGCUGACUUGCCAUUCCACCACCCAAAAUAUACAGAAAAAGCUCCUUUGGUGAUGCUCAGUUUGCCAAGCAAAUCUGCCACUUCUAAUUGUCCGUCUUUAAUUCCUUUUCCUGUUGCCCAGCUCAACAAACAAGUCUCCUGAUAACUGCAAGUCCCAUUAUUCAGAAGUCUUUGGGUAUCCACAGUCCUGACAAAUGGCCAGGGCCUGUUGUUUUGAGGGUUAGGCUCAUAAGCCGCAGAAAAAAGCAGCAUAAUGGUUGGCACAAUGGGUCAGCGCAGUGGUUGCUUGUGUAACCCAGCCUUCAGACAGGGUCCGGCUGCCCAGAAAGUUCACAGUCAGGGCAUGAUAAUGGCAAAAGUUAGAUGCUUGGGCAUGGAAGGAUCCAUGAGUUUAACUAUUCUCCAAGCAUUUUUCUCAAAAAGAAAUUUAAGUUGCUGUCUUACAGCAACUGUAAUUUACGCCUUACAUUUUUAUCUCAUCUUUCUCUAAAGAAUUCAGCCAGAGCAACAUACAUGGUUCUCUCAGCCCACACCCCUUUUAUCCUCACAACAAACCCCAUGAAGUAGGCUAGGGUGAGAAGCAGUGACUAGCCCAAGGUAGCACUGUGUGCUUAAUGGUGGAAUAGGAUUUGAACCCAGCUAUCAAUAUUCUGACAUUCUAACCAUUACGCCCCACUGGUUCUCAUGCAUUGUUCAAAGGAGUAUUUCUGUUUUAUCAAAAGCCCUCCUGCCUAUGGACUGGACAACCCCAUCAUAUUUUCAGAUUCCUUCUAAUUAUAUACUCUUGGAGCCCAUAUUUCAAACCUCUACAAUAUUCCCGCUUAGUUGUCUUGUUUCUGCUCUAAAAAGUCCCAACCAUUUCCACCUUCCUUUGUACCAAAGAUGAUCCAUUCCCUUAGAUUGUUUUGAUUACGCUCCCUAAGGCAGACCAUUUAGGGCCAUUGCAAAAGGAGAGAAAAUGACCGGUCAUUUGGGUGGCAAUUCUUUGUGUCCAUUUACUUGGGAGUAAGCCCUGGUGAAUUCCGUGGGGAUCAGUAGAGAUCCCUAGGAUUGCCCUGUUGUUUUGUCACUUUGCAUUUUCUCCCCACAAGAGUGGUGUGGCGUGGCAACAUUUGCAUUCUUUGCCUCAGACUCCAGGAUGCCUUAGGCCAUCUCUUCCUGCUUCUGGAGACUGGACUUUCUGCCAAAACAUUAACCCUCUGAUACUGGAAACAUCUGUGUGCUUUCAUUUGGCAGAGGAGACCAGCAUGGUAUUUUUAACUUUCUCAGUGGACCUUCACAGAUGCUCAGUUCUUCCUCAGGAACAUAAGUAUAAUUGGGAUGCGUCAGCUACUCAGACAGCUUUCCCAGGAACACAUGCAGUGCACCCACACAGACCCUGCAUUCAAGGAAAAAUACGCCCUGUACCUCUACAUAUAUGAAUGGUGCUCUUCAGGAACUGUCUGGGCAUUCCUCCUGCCAGCACGGCUGUUCCGUCAAUCGCACCACUGAGCUUUACCAGCACCACAUGACAAAUAAAGCAAACAGGCAGAAACAGAUCAACUUCACUGGAUAAUGCAAAAUAGUUGUGGGAGAGAGAAGAGUUGGGUUAUUUUACGGAUCAGCAAUGCACUUUAUAAUAUUAUUUUUAUCAUUAUCAUACUGCUUAAUUGCCUAUGUGACUUUUAAGUGGCUUACAAGAAUAAAACACAUUACAAAAAAAUAUAAACGCACAUAAUUUAAAAUAUGCAAUAAAACCAGUUCACCCAAACGUUAAAUUAGACACCCAC